CAGCCGCCGCGGUAAUACGUAGGGUGCGAGCGUUAAUCGGAUUUACUGGGCGUAAAGCGUGCGCAGGCGGCCCGUUAAGACAGGUGUGAAAUCCCUGGGCUCAACCUAGGAAUUGCGCUUGUGACUGGCGGGCUCGAGUACGGUAGAGGGGGGUGGAAUUCCUGGUGUAGCAGUGAAAUGCGUAGAGAUCAGGAGGAACACCGAUGGCGAAGGCAGCCCCCUGGGCCUGUACUGACGCUCAUGCACGAAAGCGUGGGGAGCAAACAGGAUUAGAUACCCUGGUAGUCCACGCCCUAAACGAUGGGUACUAGCCGUUUGGUGCGCGAUAGCGCUGAGUGGCGAAGCUAACGCGUGAAGUACCCCGCCUGGGGAGUACGGCCGCAAGGUUGAAACUUAAAGGAAUUGGG
rnacentral:rRNA from 1 species